CACUUAUCUCUGUUGGUUUUUUUACAGUAACAUCUAAGUAAACUCCUACCAUCAUUUGUUUUGAAUUUUGACUUAAUGAUUUAUCCCAGGAGCAAAUACCUUCCUCCAAGUACUCUUCACCUUCAAGUCACGGGAGGACACAUGCCUCAAGGUAUUUUAAAGCAGAACAUAUAGGCGAUGUUGACUUGCAUGGAACUGUUAGAGGAAGGAGAUGUUGGAUCGAGCUAAAGUGCAAUGGUAUGGAAUAUGUUAAAUGUCAAAUAUAGCCC
rnacentral:lncRNA from 1 species